rnacentral:misc_RNA from 1 species
CAGUGUUCGCUGCCCUCACGGGUAGCAACCCUCACCCUUGUGUAUUAUAUCUUUGUUGCUUUGGCACGCCGCCUUCGGGCACCGGCUUUGCUGGCUCGUGCGUGUCAGAGGAUCUUUAAAUUCUGAAUGUUAGUGUCGUCUGAGUACUAUCUAAUAGUUA